AAUAUCAAGAACGGGAGCUUAUAAAUAGGCUGAGAGGGAGUUGUGAACUUCGACCGCACCUGAUUUGGGUAAUGCCAACGGAGGGAUAUAAACUUAAAAAUGA
rnacentral:ncRNA from 1 species